rnacentral:lncRNA from 1 species
AGUCCAAAAUCGGAACCCUAUUCACCACCAUCUAUGUGCCAUACAAAUAUUUGCCCUCUAUGCGAACUAUUUCCGCCUUCUCACCAGUGAUAAAGGUGCACUGGUUCUCGGGAUGAUCUACACACCCGCAUAAAUGACAUAGCAUUGAUACAUUCUCAUAUUGGAAUUGCUGCCAGAAAUGCCGAUCUUGGAUGACAAUAUCAACUCCCAGACACAAAGGUUGAGACAAAUCUAGAUGCACACAUACUUUGGCAGGACCCAGUCACGCUCAUUCUCUUCAGAGAAUUGAAACAUCAGGUGACCCCC